rnacentral:rRNA from 1 species
GUCGAGAAUCAUUCACAAUGGGGGAAACCCUGAUGGUGUGACGCCGCGUGGAGGAUGAAGGUCUUCGGAUUGUAAACUCCUGUCAUGUGGGAGUAAAGCCGGGUGUUAAAUGCAUGCCGGUCUGAGAGUACCACAAGAGGAAGGGACGGCUAACUCUGUGCCAGCAGCCGCGGUAAUACAGAGGUCCCAAGCGUUGUUCGGAAUCACUGGGCGUAAAGGGUGCGUAGGCGGCGCGGAAAGUCAGGGGUGAAAUCCCGGAGCUCAACUCCGGAACUGCCUUUGAUACUCCCGCGCUUGAGAACUGGAGGGGAGACCGGAAUUCACGGUGGAGCAGUGAAAUGCGUGGAUAUCGUGAGGAACACUAGUGGCGAAGGCGGGUCUCUGGACAGUAUCUGACGCUGAGGCACGAAGGCCAGGGGAGCGAACGGGAUUAGAUACCCGUGUAGUCC